rnacentral:rRNA from 1 species
UACGUAGGGUGCAAGCGUUGUCCGGAAUUAUUGGGCGUAAAGAGCUCGUAGGCGGUUUGUCGCGUCUGCUGUGAAAACUGGGGGCUCAACCCCCAGCCUGCAGUGGGUACGGGCAGACUAGAGUGCGGUAGGGGAGAUUGGAAUUCCUGGUGUAGCGGUGGAAUGCGCAGAUAUCCGGAAGAACACCGGUGGCGAAGGCGGUUGGCUGGGCCGUGGCUGACACUGAGGCGCGACAGCGUGGGGAGCAAACAGG